UACAGAGACUGCAAGCGUUAUUCGGAUUCACUGGGCGUAAAGGGUGCGCAGGCGGCCGUGUGUGUGAGGCGUGAAAGCCUGGGGCUUAACUCCAGAAUUGCACCUCAAACUACAUGGCUAGAGCAUUGGAGAGGGUAGCGGAAUUCACGGUGUAGCAGUGAAAUGCGUAGAUAUCGUGAGGAACACCAGAGGCGAAGGCGGCUACCUGGACAAUUGCUGACGCUCAGGCACGAAAGCGUGGGGAGCAAAAGGG
rnacentral:rRNA from 1 species